rnacentral:rRNA from 1 species
UACGUAGGGUGCGAGCGUUUGUCCGGAAUUAUUGGGCGUAAAGGGCUCGUAGGCGGUUUGUCGCGUCGGGAGUGAAAUCCACUGGCUUAACUGGUGGCUUGCUUUCGAUACGGGCAGACUGGAGGUAUGCAGGGGAGAACGGAAUUCCUGGUGUAGCGGUGAAAUGCGCAGAUAUCAGGAGGAACACCGGUGGCGAAGGCGGGUCUCUGGGCCGAUACUGACGCUGAGGAGCGAAAGCGUGGGGAGCGAACAGG